AGCGAACGCUGGCGGCAGGCCUAACACAUGCAAGUCGAGCGCCGUAGCAAUACGGAGCGGCAGACGGGAGAGUAACACGUGGGAACGUACCCUUCAGUACGGAACAACCAAGGGAAACUUUGGCUAAUACCGUAUACGUCCGUAAGGAGAAAGAUUUAUCGCUGAAGGAUCGGCCCGCGUCUGAUUAGCUAGUUGGUGAGGUAACGGCUCACCAAGGCGACGAUCAGUAGCUGGUCUGAGAGGAUGAUCAGCCUCACUGGGACUGAGACACGGCCCAGACUCCUACGGGAGGCAGCAGUGGGGAAUAUUGGACGAUGGGCGCAAGCCUGAUCCAGCCAUGCCGCGUGGGUGAUGAAGGCCCUAGGGUUGUAAAGCCCUUUCGGCGGGGAAGAUAAUGACGGUACCCGCAGAAGAAGCCCCGGCUAACUUCGUGCCAGCCGCCGCAGUAAGAC
rnacentral:rRNA from 1 species